AUGUUUGCAGAAGUUAGAAGACAAAGGGGAAAACUGAAUUCUGAGAUGAUUAUAGAGCAACAGAUUAGACAAAAAUAUAUUUCUCAAGAAAGCUGCAAACUGCAUAUCAAGUGUCCGGUGGGGUUUGGGAGGCAAUGAUGAACAUUCAUUUCAAGAAAUUUCUUUUGGAUUCAGGUAGUACUGAGUACAUGAAAAAGGGAUGAAGAUAUCUCACUGAAUUUCCUGCAUAUUGGAACAUCUGACCUGGUUUUAAUGUUUGAAUAUUGUGGGAUUUUACAUUUAUGAUACAUUUUUAGUAAAAUCUUUAUUUUGAAAGCAGCAGCAGCAUGUUUCUAAUUUCCUUAUUUUACUGCACUUUCUAGUGUUAGCUACAGUAGAAAAUUCAGAACCUCUGCACUGACAUUGGCACUAACUGUUCAGCAGUGCAG
rnacentral:lncRNA from 1 species